AGUGAACGCUGGCGGUAGGCCUAACACAUGCAAGUCGAACGGCAGCACAGUAAGAGCUUGCUCUUACGGGUGGCGAGUGGCGGACGGGUGAGGAAUACAUCGGAAUCUACUUUUUCGUGGGGGAUAACGUAGGGAAACUUAUGCUAAUACCGCAUACGACCUACGGGUGAAAGCAGGGGAUCUUCGGACCUUGCGCGAUUGAAUGAGCCGAUGUCGGAUUAGCUAGUUGGCGGGGUAAAGGCCCACCAAGGCGACGAUCCGUAGCUGGUCUGAGAGGAUGAUCAGCCACACUGGAACUGAGACACGGUCCAGACUCCUACGGGAGGCAGCAGUGGGGAAUAUUGGACAAUGGGCGCAAGCCUGCUCCAGCCAUACCGCGUGGGUGAAGAAGGCCUUCGGGUUGUAAAGCCCUUUUGUUGGGAAAGAAAAGCAGCAGGUUAAUACCCCGCUGUUCUGGCGGUACCCAAAGAAUAAGCACCGGCUAACUUCGU
rnacentral:rRNA from 1 species